rnacentral:rRNA from 1 species
CGGAGGGUGCAAGCGUUGUUUGGAAUCAUUGGGCGUAAAGCGCGUGUAGGCGGCUUGGCAAGUCGGUUGUGAAAGCCCGGGGCCCAACCCCGGAAUUGCAUCUGAAACUGCCUCGCUAGAGUCCCGGAGAGGAAGGGCAGAAUUCCCGGUGUAGGGGUGAAAUCCGUAGAUAUCGGGAGGAAUACCAGCGGCGAAGGCGGCCUUCUGGACGGUGACUGACGCUGAGACGCGAAAGCGUGGGGAGCAAAACAGGAUUAGAUACCCUGGUAGUCCACGCCGUAAACGUUGAGUGCUAGGUGUCGCGGGUAUUGACCCCUGCGGUGCCGUCGUUAACGCAUUUAGCACUCCGCCUGGGGAGUACGGUCGCAAGGCUA